GGGGGUGCCUAGGUUUCGACGUGGUAUUGAAGCUAUUGAGUGCAAGCAGGUUAGAUACGACCUUAACAGUUCAAAUAAUUUAGUUGCAAAUAACAACUUACACUUCGAACAGCGCUUAGCCGCUUAGUAGGGAGGCUGGUUAGAGCCUUCUAUCCAAUCUAAUCAACACAACAGGUAAGUUGCAAAAACCAAAAAACUUAUCGUAACAAGAUGGUAAGCGAUAUUUUAUAACCAUCUACCUUUGUUAGUUUGUGAAGAGACUAAAUAAGCUUGUGAAUGACUUAAUUUUGGAUAUAUUGCGGACGCGGGUUCGAUUCCCGCCACCUCCACCA
rnacentral:tmRNA from 1 species